rnacentral:rRNA from 1 species
AGAGUUUGAUCAUGGCUCAGAACGUACGCUGGCGGCACGCCUAACACAUGCAAGUCGAACGAAGUAGCAAUACUUAGUGGCAGACGGGUGAGUAACAUGUGGGUAUCUGCCCUUUGGCCUGGAAUAACACGAGGAAACUUGUGCUAAUACCGGAUAAGUCUUUACGGAGAAAGCUUUAUGCACCAUUGGAUGAGCCCGCACUUGAUUAGUUUGUUGGUAGGGUAAUGGCCUACCAAGACUGUGAUCAAUAGCUGAUUUGAGAGGAUGAUCAGCCACAUUGGGACUGAGACACGGCCCAAACUCCUACGGGAGGCAGCAGUGGGGAAUCUUGCACAAUGGAGGAAACUCUGAUGCAGCGAUGCCGCGUGAGUGAAGAAGGCCCUUGGGUUGUAAAGCUCUUUCGUCGGGGAAGAAAAUGACUGUACCCGAAUAAGAAGGUCCGGCUAACUUCGUGCCAGCAGCCGCGGUAAUACGAAGGGACCUAGCGUAGUUCGGAAUUACUGGGCUUAAAGAGUUCGUGGGUGGUUGAAAAAGUUGGUGGUGAAAUCCCAGAGCUUAACUCUGGAACUGCCAUCAAAACAUUUCAGCUAGAGUUUGAUAGAGGAAAGCAGAAUUUCUAGUGUAGAGGUGAAAUUCGUAGAUAUUAGAAAGAAUACCAAUUGCGAAGGCAGCUUUCUGGAUCAUUACUGACACUGAGGAACGAAAGCAUGGGUAGCGAAGAGGAUUAGAUACCCUCGUAGUCCAUGCCGUAAACGAUGUGUGUUAGACGUUGGAAAUUUAUUUUCAGUGUCGCAGCGAAAGCGGUAAACACACCGCCUGGGGGGUACGACCGCAAGGUUAAAACUCAAAUGAAUUGACGGGGACCCGCA